GACUCGGAACCCGGGGAGGCCGAGGUCCUUGGAGAGGCUGCACACAAUGUGGACGCGGCCGGCGGUGGACGCGGAGGCCGCCGCCACCUCGGCGACGCUGACGAAGCCCUCCGGUGCAGCGCCGGCGUAGAUUUCGUCGCUGACGAGGUGGAGGUCGUCUCGGGAGGAGACGAAGUCGAGGAGGGCGUCGAUCUCGCCGCAGGCGAGGGCAGUGCCGAGCGGGUUAGAGGGGUUGGUGACGAGGACCCCCUUCACGCGGAGGCGCCGCUCCUGCGCACGGCGGCAGGCGGCGUCGAGGGCCGCCCGGGUGAUGCGGAAGCCGUUGGAACUGGAGCAGAGGACGGGGACGAUCUCCACUCCGGUUCUCCAUUUCAGAUCCCGAUCGAACCUGCUCCACAAACAUUUGCUCUGCGUCAGCAUUUCACGUGUGCAUGAAAGAAGAACAGAGAGUCUGUCAUGGCGAAGCUAAUUCUUAAGGGGUAAAGUGAACAGUGGAAUUUAUACCCUGGAUAGUAAGGAGUUGGCACAAGGAAAGCUUCACCAGGUUCAGCGAGGCAGAACAUCAAGAUCUCGUUGGCAGAAGUUGCACCGGCAGUGAGCACGAGCUUGCUGGGGUCGAACCUCACUCCGUUUCCUCUCACUUCCGCCAUGUACUUGGCUAAUGCCUGCAUUACUAGCAGUGUUCAGCAAACGAAAUCGCACUCAAAGAAGAUCCGGAACUGAUUCGACGAUUACAUUCUUGAAGGCAGGCAAGCCGUGGUAGUCCUGGAACAGAGCAAGCUCCUUGAAUAUCCUUUUGCCGUCGUCCCUCUUGAAUCCUCCUGCCUGAGGGUGCUUCUCCAGCCACGUCUCGAUCAGGUCGAAGCAGAGCUGCACGCGCGCACACCAUUUAAAAGAACAGUUCGACAUUAACUAGCUAGUGCAACAAGGUCAAGGGAUCGUCGACCUGGUUCUCUGCGAGGCCCAUUUGGAUCAUCCCUUUCGGGUUGGAGAUCGGAUCGUAAGGGUCGUUCUCGUACUCCUGCCAUCCUAAGAAGUAAGACGAGUCCUGGCCGUGGGCGUUGCAUGCAGCCUUCCUGGACAGCAACUCCCGCUGCAUUCUACUGUUUACAGAAGAAGAAGAAGAAGAAGCAGCAGCUGGCCUUAGCAAAAAGAUGGGAGAUUGGGAAAGUGGGAUCUGCUGCAGGAAGUAAGAUUUAGUGCUAUUUAUAGACUAUGUUUCUUACUGGAACAAACAAAAUUGUCUACUUGGGGUUGACGCUGCGCAGCAAUGAAGAACACACCUGCCGACACGAAAUCUGCUGGGGCCACCGUGCUGGGCGAAAGGCGAGGUUCCUUAGCUUAAGAACCUCUCGUUUUUACACGAGAAUGAGAGAGCGAAAAGACGUGCUUGGCUUUUUUGAGGAUCCGGUGGCACACCAAGUGGCAGCGGUUAAUGGAUAAGGAAUUGCUGGAUUUCGUAUGAAAUUGGGUCAAGGAUCGAUCGGUGGAUGAUGGUCAGCUGCUCCAGGGUCAACGUGUCUUCUCAAUCUAAAGUAUCAUUUCCGACAAGUCUUGUAGCCUACCAAACUCAUCACGGCUGUUGCCAGAGAGUCCAUUGGGAUACGUCCGCAGUAUUUCUUUCACCAACAAAGAUAUGGUGGAUUUUCAACGACCGCGUUCAGAUUUUCCCACUCUUUUACAAUGGAACAGCACAGUGAUAGUUAGAGAUUCAGAAUGACUUUUUCACCAAACGCGGAAGAGUUUAGAAGUGAUUCGAUCUUAUAGUUAGAAUGUCUCAUGGGCAAAGAUCACUGGAUUAGAUAUAUUUUGAUUCUUUGUCGACUCUUCUGACGUACGCAUGUUUUUUCGUCGACAGUUUGGUGCAGCAGCAGCGGCGGAGAUGAUGUGCGGGUAGGGGGUGGCGUUGAGGUGACUUCGAUAUUGAUCAUGUGAAGACUCUGAACUGGAGUAAAGUGACAUCGAGUGAACCUGUGCAGUAAAGAUAGGAAUCGGGAGAAAGAAGUAUUAGUCAUCGGACUUGGGAAGGCGCCCAUGGAACAAACACUCCGACGUUCAAGUCAGAACAUUAGUUGAGCAAAAUGGAAAAGAAAAUGAACAGUAAUAACAACUGAUGAACUGUAGUGGCAAGAUCUCGCGUACUUGAGCCCCUUGGCCAAUAAAGAGGAUCCUCUUUUUAUACCGUCCCUCAUAAAUUUCGCAAUUAAUGAGACUGUGUAGAAUAUCUGUCAGAAUAUGUCGGGUAAGGAAGGAUGUACGGUAGCUUUCCUAUGGUUGGAAGAAAGUCUCGUUGUAUGUAUAUGUCAGGAUAAUGACAGG